rnacentral:rRNA from 1 species
AACGAACGCUGGCGGCAUGCCUAACACAUGCAAGUCGAACGAGACCUUCGGGUCUAGUGGCGCACGGGUGCGUAACGCGUGGGAACCUGCCCUUAGGUUCGGAAUAACUCCCCGAAAGGGGUGCUAAUACCGGAUAAUGUCUUCGGACCAAAGAUUUAUCGCCUUUGGAUGGGCCCGCGUUGGAUUAGCUAGUUGGUAGGGUAAAAGCCUACCAAGGCGACGAUCCAUAGCUGGUCUGAGAGGAUGAUCAGCCACACUGGGACUGAGACACGGCCCAGACUCCUACGGGAGGCAGCAGUGGGGAAUAUUGGAAAAUGGGCGAAAGCAUGAUGCAGCAAUGCCGGGUGAGUGAUGAAGGCCUUAGGGUUGUAAAGCUCUUUUACCCGGGAGGAUAAUGACAGUACCGGGAGAAUAAGCUCCGGCUAACUCCGUG